AUGGGGAAGAAGAGUAAACUUGUGUCAGAUACUAGAAGCCUAGUCGAUUUGGUAUUCUCUUGGUCUCUAGGGGAUGUUCUCAAUGAAAACCUUUACAGAAAUCAAGUGCAGAGGAUCCCCGACACAUUUGACACAGUGACGAGUUACAAGAAAACAUUCAUUCCUUCACUUGUUGAGGAAACUCAUGCUGAUUUACUAUCGAAUCUGUUGAUUCUGCCACAUGCAUCUACUUGUGAAAUUCUGACAAUCAUGGAUUCCGAUGAACCUCCUGAUGAGUUGUUUUACGAUCCACAGGCUGGAGAUAUCAUUGCCUUGACGAACGUUAGACCAAAAUGCAUUGAUGAUUUGAACAGGCCUCCAAGGUUCUAUCUUAUAGCUUAUGUUGCUAAAGCAAAUGAUAUUGAUGAAUAUCCUGAUCUCCUCCAGUUCAAAAUACUGUCAUCGAAGCCUAUCAAAUAUGGAGAGGCAGGCAUGAAUAAGAGCAAGAGAGAAAAACUUUUUGCUGUCCGUCUUAUAAACUUGAUGACAAAUGUCCGUGUAUGGAAGGCUUUGAACUCAGAAGAGGGGAAUACAAAUAUCAUUAACAAAGUUCUGCAACCCAAGUCAGAUGAUGGGGAUUCUUGUUCAGUCUGCUUCUCCAAAGAAAAAUGCUGCACUAGAAUUUCUGAUAUAUGGCAUACAAUUCGCUCCCAAAAUCUAGAUGAUUCCCAAGAAGCUGCAGUUUUGAACUGUAUCAAUUUGUCUCAAUGUCAUCACCAGAAAUUCUGUAAAAUUAAUAUGGGGUCCUCCUGGUACUGGCAAGACAAAGACAAUGAGUCUGACACUCUUUGCGCUCUUUCAGUUGAAGUGCAGAACUCUCACAUGUGCUCCCACCAAUAUUGCCGUGCUAGAAAUUGCAGCAAGGCUCCGAAGAUCGGUUAAUCAGUCACUUGAGUAUGGCGGGUAUGGACUAGGAGAUAUAGUUCUCUUUGGUAACAACAAGCGAAUGAAGAUUGACAAUAACGAUGAUGUGCGUGACAUAUUUCUUGAUCAUCGUGCUAAAAUCCUCAUCAAGUGUUUGGUUCCUUUGUCUGGGUGGAAACAUUUGUUAUCAUCAAUGAUACAUUUACUUGAUGAUCCAGUGGAACAUUAUUCUAUGUAUUUGCAAAAGAGAGCUGCAAAGCAAAAACAGAAUGCAGAAAAAAAUGAGGAGGAUGAUCGAACUGAGGAUUAUCUUUUGACAUUUGAGGAGUUUGUGAAGAAUGAAUUUGAUUCAGUCAGUGAGGACCUGAAGAUUUGUAUGACAGAUUUGUACACCCACUUACCAACUUCUUGCAUUUCACUCGAAGUGGUAAAGGACAUGGUAAGAGCUUUGGGUUUGCCCAAGCCUAUUAAAUCUUCAUUGCAUACUAUUGGUGCUGCUAAUGAAGGAUUGAAGCUAAUCCUCAAUGACUUCAAAGUUCCCAGAAGCACUGUUGGUUGCCUUAGGCAGCUGAGAACAAAAUGUACAAACACACUGAAGUCGCUUCCAAAGGAAUUCUCUGUUCCUAUUUCCGAAUAUGCAUUAAAGAACUUCUGCCUAGAAAAUGCUUGCUUAAUAUUCUGUACCGCAUCAACUUCUUCCAAAUUGCAUAUUGUAGCAGAAACAAGACCAUUGGAAUUGUUGGUCAUUGACGAAGCUGCUCAGCUUAAAGAAUGUGAAUCAGCAAUUCCUUUACAAAUAUCUGGUCUCCGCCAUGCUAUCCUUGUAGGAGAUGAGAGGCAACUCCCUGGCAUGGUUAAAAGCAAGAUUGCAGCAAGUGCUGAUUUUGGAAGAAGUUUGUUUGAAAGGCUGGCAAAGUUGGGACACAAGAAGCACCUGCUCAAUGUCCAGUACAGGAUGCAUCCAUCCAUCAGUUUAUUUCCAAAAAAGUAGUUCUACAACAACCAGAUAGUAGAUGGUCCAAAUGUUAAAGAAACAAGCUACAAGAGAUGCUUCCUCAAGGGAAAAAUGUACCGAUCUUAUUCCUUCAUAAAUGUUGCCAAUGGAAAAGAUGAAUUUGAUCACAGAUGUAGUCGGAAAAAUAUGGUGGAGGUUGCUGUAGUCUCUGAGAUAGUAGCAAGCCUUUAUAAAGAAUUUAGAAGAACAAAGAAGAAAGUUAGUAUUGGUGUCAUAUCACCAUACAAGGCUCAAGUUUAUGCAAUUCAAAAGAUACUCACAAAAUCUACUGGAACUUCUGAUACUGGCUUCUCUGUAAGUGUGCGAUCUGUUGAUGGGUUCCAAGGUGGUGAAGAAGAUGUGAUAAUUAUAUCUACUGUGCGAUGUAAAUGGGAACGGGUCAGUUGGUUUUUUGUCAAACAGGCAAAGAGCAAAUGUUGCACUUACACGUGCAAGGUAUUGCCUUUGGAUAGUGGGUAAUGCAUCAACUUUGGUUACAAGUGACUCUGUUUGGAAGAAGCUUGUCCUUGAUGCCAAAGAAACGGAACUGUUUUCAUAAUGCUGAUGAAGACAGCAACUUGGCUCAGGCUAUUACAACUGCCCUGCUAGAGCUUGACCAACUUCAUUCUCUGCUUAAUAUCGGCUCUAUGCUGUUCAAAAACGCUAUAUGGAAGAUGAACCGCUGCAAGCACAAAUGCAUUGACAGGGAUACUGUUGUUCCAAUGAGAUGGCCGGUGGUUUUCACCAACUUCCCUAUAGAUGAUCAUGAGGAGUUCCUUUCAAAGCCAUUGUCUUCUCUCAUUAUUACAGCUAAUCCAAAAACGUCGACAACAACAUAUGGGGAGACAGCAAAAGCAGUAAAAUCGAUUAUCCAUUCUAAGAACAAUGUUAUUAAAAAAGAAAGAUUGUUAUGGAAAAUAAAGGCUGAAGACGGAGUGAAGGAUUUCAGCACUUGCCUUGAAGCUGAUCCUGUGGAGUUCUUAUCAAAACCAUUAUCAUCACUAAGUCUAGCAGAUAAGCCAGAAGCAUCUACUUCCACUGACAUGGAGACAGCAAAAGCAGUAAAAUCGAUUAUCCGUUCUAAGAACAACGUUAAUAAAAAAGAAAGAUUGUUAUGGAAAAUAAAGUCCGAAGAAGGAGUGAAGGAUUUCAGCACUUGCCUUGAAGCUGAUCCUGUGGAAUUCUUGUCAAAACCAUUAUCAUCACCAAGUCUAGCAGAUAAGCCAGAAGCAUCUACUUCCACUGACAUGUGA